AAUUUUUGAGAUAUGCAUGUGCCCAGAAGGGAGCAAAGUGAAGUUUGUUGCCUGCACCCUCUCUGACAGGGCCCUUACAUGGUGGAAUGGACAUGUCAAGUCAUUGACCCUACCAGUGGCAACUGCGAUGGGCUAGGAGAAUCUAAAGGAGAUGAUUAUGGAAGAGUACUGCCCGAUGGGAGAAAUAAAAAAGCUAGAUCAAGAGCUAUGGAACCUUAUCAUGGUAGGAUCUGACAUAGAAGCCUACACUAAUAGAUUCAGUGAUCUAGCGGCACUAUGCCCCAGGAUGGUUACUGUGACAUCCCUAUUUUCAUGGCCAGAAAAGACCGAUUUUGUUUAUGCUUUAUAAAAAUCAGAGUACCUCUUUUUAAUAAAAAUGUGCGGAAUUCGUUCCCAGUGAAACAUGAUAAAUACGUUAUCAGGGCAUUUCCGAAGAAAUGUAUUUUUAUUCAUUUUAAAACAUUUGGGAUGUCAUUGUCAAUACAUAAACAUAAGCACAAACAAAACUUACAUUCAUUAUCACUAGUGAUUUACAUCUCUUUAAUAUGUCACUGUAAUGUAACUUCAUAUAGACACCUGUGAUACAAAUAAGCUGGAGUGGGUCAGGUUGGGAAACCUGGUGAGUACAUAGGGUUUUCAACCCACAAUAAUAUAAUUAUUAUGUUUAAUCAUCAAACAAUUAAACAAAUUACCCAUCCCCAUUAUCUUCUUUAUUCCUGAGUACCUUCCCUAAGGAUUUAUCCUAAGUGUCGUCUCCUACAUCAUAUUUACCUCUCAUCUCCUUACGCAUUUCCUUAUAUGUUUGUUCCUAAGGACUCUCCCUAGGGAUCAUCGUCUACAUCACAUAGACAAUAAUGAUUCAGGGAUUACUGCCACACUAUGUGCCUAUCAAGGGUUAGGGCAUCAUCGCACGAAUACAUAGUUACAAUAUCGCUUGAACUCGUAAUUCAUAGUAAGGGGUUAGAGUAUCAUCGCAUGAAUAUGUAGUUACAACAUCGCCUGAACUCGUAAUUCAUCACCUACAGGUUAUGGGUCUGCUGGUGUUUCCACGGAGUUGUCUAUAAUAGUCCGUGGUCGCUAUCUAUACUCUAGUAGAUGACUGCAUCUCCAAAUUUCCGGACAAGGUUAUAGUAUCUUUCAUCCUACAUCACCGAUUCAUCAUCACCUAUCUACCCUCACCUAAUUAUCAUCAUCUAUCUCUCAUCAUUUUAUUUCAUCACACAUCAACUAUUUCAUCUACCCAUGUUUUAUCCCAACAUAUUUGUAGAUAUAAAAUAAAUAUAUAGUUUAAAUCAUUUAAAAAAUGUAUAGAAUCAUUCAUCCAGCAUAGACAGGCAGUAUCCAGAUAAUAUGCACACAUGACACGUAGUUUAUAUAAAAUACUUCAUAUCUAUGUGUAAGAUGAAAGGGACCAUACACUCACUUGGUAAGGUGGUGAAUCCGAACUCAGACAGCGCUUCGUUACUCUUAAAUCAAUUUCCUUCGACAAAACCUAGUAUCAAUACCGCUAGGGUUUAGUCUAACGUUAACCACGACUAAUUAAUAGUCUAGCUAUUAUUAAUAUUAUAUAAGUGUUAAACAACACUCUUAUAUAACUCAUAAUAAUAGCUCAAAUAAUUAGAAGCUAUAUUAAAAAUAGCGUAGGCGUAACUCACUUACAACGGGUUUUUAUUAAAAAAAAUUGGGCUUUGCUGGAGCAGUGUUUCCAAGCCGAAAGCUUUUCUUCUCAAAGCCGUUGGGCGCUACGGGGCUUCCUUCUUGUUAUAGGGAGGUUCCCUAGACUUGGAAGGGUUUUAACGAGGCUAGAGGUAUGUUAGAGAGAGAAAGAGAGGUUAUGGUGUGAAGAAAAUAUGAAGGAUUCAUCCUUUAUUUAUACGGAUUUUAUCCUAGAGUAGUCUCUAAGCUUCGUCCGUAUAUUUCGUGUACGAGCUCCAUUUUCUACGUUAUUUAUAUCCACGUAUUGGUAUUUAUGAGUACUACAAAUUUCAUUUAGACCCCGUGGGAUAAUUCUCGUUGUAUCUAAGAUUUACAAAAUUGUAUUCGAAUUCGCCGUGCUCGAAGAACAGAGACUAAGCUUCGUCCAUAUCUUGCGCAUACGAGCUCCGUUUUCGAUUGUAUUUUUAUCGUUUAACUCCUAUUAACGAAAUCUUCAGUCCACUUUUAUAUUAUUUUGGUUGAAAAUCGACCGAUCUAAAAUUCGAAUUUCCAUGUUGUGCACUGUUAUGCUAAAUGUGAGGAAAUUCAUAACUUCUUCAUACGAAGUCAGAUUUGGGCGUUCUUUUUUUGUAUGUUCUUGGUUUAACAUAUACUAAAACUUUUGUUUAUAUUUCUAAAGCUAAAAAGUCCUCCAUCGUAAAUUCACUAUUUACGUCUCUAGGUGUCGUGCCGGUUUUGACGUAAAACUUCGACGGACCAUAACUUCUUCGUUAUAACUCAGAUUUUAGCGUACUUUAUAUGUACGAAACCCUUGAGACAUAUGCUACAACUCGGUUAAGAUUAUUUAUUCUAAAUAAUCUUUUGUCAAAAUGUCGUUUUCGACUCCUAUUAUCUCUAAAUUGACUAGCCCGGAUAUACGGGCGUUACAAUUAUCUCCCUCUUAGGAUGAUUACGUCCCGGAAUCAUCAACGAAACAUGGCUCACAUGAUGACUCCAUAUGUUAUCUCUUCAUCGUAAGUAAUAACCAUAACUUGAUGUUUCUUUGAACGAGUAUCUAACUCUAAGACUUCCUGAUUGCAGGCGGUGCUCGAUCUUGCACUUGCUCCCCUAUCUCAUGUUAGACUCCAAAUUGUGACCUUCAAGUCACAAUCUCGAUCCUUAAUGGAGACUGCUUCUUCUUUUUAAAAAACUUAAGAUAAGUUAUUUUAUUACUAAAAUGGACUGAUGUGUCAUAUUCUAAUGACUUAUCAUCGUAUGUUCCUACGCUUAGACUCAGGUCUCUUAGAGUCUUCCAGAACAGACUAUACAUUUCUUCAAGUUCUAAUCACAUCUUAAAAGAUAGCAUUUCUAGCUACAAGAAACUAUCGCGAUACCUCUAUCGAUCGCUUUGAUUAUCUUUUAUUUCAAUCUUCCGACUUAUGUCAGACGCUACAUCAAACUUGGUUCUCUGAACCAUGUAACAUACUUAUCGUAGUCAGACUCAAUUCGAUAUGACCACUAGGGUUGGAAUAACAAUCAUCCUCUUAGUCAUUACCAAAACGAUGGUGACGACAUAUUUAAAUAAAACGACAUUAAUUACUAGCUUCUUGGUAACCUUGUGACUCCUUGAUCCAAGCAUGAGUCAUGUGCUUCCGGUAGUAUUGGCCUCUACUACCUUUCACACCUACUCAUACUCGUCCCAAGUAUUGUCUCGCAGUUCUCCAAGUUAUUAUCACAAAAACAGCUUUAACACAUACAAAUGUGUCCAAAAAAUUAUAUAAAUUUCUCUAGAAUCUACUAGGACUUCUUCCAUGCGUAUCUUCUAUCAUCAAUUAUGCUUCAACUCUGUUGGUGAUGGAAAUGUCAGACGAUGGGAUAACUUCAUGGAUUAUACCAAAAGUCUUUCUUUCUGCUAAUCGAAAGUGUAUUUCUCCCGUACUAGACAUAUUAUUUCUUAGACGCGUUCUAAAGGCAAGAUAUCACUCUUACGAUAUCUUCCCAUACGUACCACUCAGUAUCGUAAGCUUUCUCAUUUCCUCCAUUUACUCAAUUCACUACGAGUCUUCACCAUGAUGUUUUGCACAUAAAAGCAGUCGUUUGGUGUACCAAGACGAGAAUAAAGAUAGAGGAAGGUUUAGACGCGUAUUCCUCCUUAUUACCUUGAGAAAUUAUAUGCCGGUUCUAAUAUCGUAAUUAAACGUUUAGAAAUCUGAACACAUAAAAUUUCUAGAUCUGGUCGGCAACAGACGAUAGAUCUGAUCAAACGAUAGCAUAAAGCAUCAAAAAUUGUUAAGCACAUAAAAGCAUGUUAGGCAUCUUCCCUAAAUAAGCUAUUGCUUGUGUCUAUUCAGGUGUACUACCUAAAAUAUAUUAUACACAAUCCUCAUGAUCAUUGCUUAGCAUUCUAAGUUUAAGUCUAGAAAUAAAUCCUUAUUCCUAGUUCACUUAAACUAAUGCUCUGAUACCAACUGUGACAUCCCCAUUUUCACAGCCAGAAAAGACCGAUUUUGUUUAUGCUUUAUAAAAAUCAGAGUACCUCUUUUUAAUAAAAAUGUGCGGAAUUUGUUCCUAGUGACACAUGAUAAAUACGUUAUCAGGGCAUUUCCAAAGAAAUGUAUUUUUAUACAUUUUAAAAUGUUUGGGAUGUCAUUGUCAAUACAGAAACAUAAGCAUAAACAGAACUUACAUUCAUUAUCACUAGUGAUUUACAUCUCCUUAGUCUCUCAGUGUAAUGUAACUUCAUAUAGACACCUAUGAUACAAAUAAGCUGGAGUGGGUCAGGUUGGGAAACCUGGUGAGUACAUAGGGUUUUCAACCCACAAUAAUAUAAUUACUAUGUUUAAUCAUCAAACAAUUA
rnacentral:lncRNA from 1 species